rnacentral:rRNA from 1 species
AGAGUUUGAUCCUGGCUCAGGACGAACGCUGGCGGCGUGCCUAACACAUGCAAGUCGAACGGGGUAGAGAGCUUCGGCUUUCUACUUAGUGGCGAACGGGUGAGUAACGCGUGAGAAACCUGCCUUUCAGUGGGGGACAACAGUUGGAAACGACUGCUAAUACCGCAUAAUGUUAUUUGAGGGCAUCCUCGAAUAACCAAAGCUUUAUGUGCUGAAAGAUGGUCUCGCGUCUGAUUAGCUAGUUGGCGGGGUAACGGCCCACCAAGGCGACGAUCAGUAGCCGGUACUCGGGACUCAU